CUUCCGGGAUCGUUGAGGUGUCUUCUCUGUGUUUCAGGAUCAACAGGCGGGGGGGGUCGGCCGGCGAGCAACUGCAUUAUUUUAGAUUCCACAGUCAGCACCGCAAUGCAAGAUGCGUGCUGUUGUCCUGCCCACUCUAAUGCAGCCCGCGCUCCAUCAGUCCCACAGAACCUAACAGAGAAACUAAAGCACAGAACCUGUCUACAUGACUGCAGGACUGACCAAGGAAGGAGCGGUCUGCAGCACACCUUUCCCUCCCAGGGCACCUCUCUCAGACACACGUCAGUCUCUAAUGGCUUCGGCCACCUCAUCAGGCACUGGGAGAAGAAGAUAUUUCUAUCUCUUUACAAGAUUUACGGGAUGAAUUGCUUAUUUUUUGCCUGAAGAGAAAUAACAUGAGGAGAACAAUUUUCAGAAGAAGAGAGUUUGUGUUUUGCAAAGUGUCACAUGAAUCCAGUCUCAAAAAUUGUACUGGCUGUAGCAGGCCAUCCGUUCAGAGGCAUAAAACAGCUAAACACAGAAAACAAACUAAACCAAACUCAAAACUUUCCUGACCAGCAAGAAAAGGAUUUCACCAAAAUGAAGGGAGUUAUGUUUGAAAAAUUCUUCACAAAGGCUGCUCAGGAGGAAGUCACUCAAGGACUUCUAGCUGUAGGCUGGGAAUCCACAACGUGUCUUUCCUGGGUGUACUCCCUGUGUCUGAACAAGAGCUGAGCUUCAGUUUCAGCGCUCCUCGGUGGAAGAACUAACAAGAUCUGAGAGGGGAUUGACAGGAACUGGUAGUGCAUUUGUGCUGGUUUGCUUUGAGCAGAUGUUGCUGACAUCUCUGAACUGUAGGAAACAUGUUUGUGGUGUCUCCUUUAUAGCCAGGGAACAUAUGGUCGAAGCACUAAGCAAAUACAAGUUGAAAGUAGCCUCAGCCUAAAAGGCACAUGAAAUGCCAGAGGGAAAAAAAAAGAGAGGCAGAAAUGAAGAGCUCCCCCAAGUUUAAGUCUUCUGCCAUUCGGAGAUCCUCACUGGACUGCGCAGAGCCUGUGUCACAGUGAGGAUCCUCCGCACAUUUGAGAAAAGAAACGACCUGAAGCAAGACUGGAGCAGGCUGCUCCACACCAACAAGGAAUCAAGUGGCUUUGGAUGGGAAGCAAAGACACUGAAAUGCGAAAACUGAGUUGAACAACAAAAACUCCACGCGACCACCAAAAAUCAGUAAGUACCUGACCUUCUGCGGCAAGCUUCCACGUCUAAAGUCCUACUAAGGUGUGUGCCCUGAAGUGUUUGUAUCCUGUCUGCACAUCUCAGCACCCAGCUCAUGCCUUAUAACAUCUGAGAUCACACACACAGCACUGCUGACUCCCAGGGGUGGCAGUAACAGAACCGAGUGCAGCCUAAUGGGCAACAGCCAUGGGAUUUGAUUCAGUCUGUGGAAUGGGAAGUGUGCUGGGACUAAUAUUGCACCAGCGGUGCAUAAAGGUCCAGCAGGCAAGGAACCUCCUCAGGAGCUUCCUAGACACAGAUUCGUAGUCUUCCUUUGCAGGACGGGAUCCAAUUCAACACCACACGAUCCCAAAGGAUGCCCAAACCCCCCGGCAUAUGGGCUGAAUGAGGCAGUGGAAAUCUCCACCCACCACAUUCAGCAAUGUUACUGUGCCAGAAGAGUAAUGGAAUGACCCAGUAAGAGAGUUUUAUUCUGUGAUUAUAAUAAACCUAAUGAUGUUAUGCAUUUUUACCUUGGGAUUCUGUAUCACAAAAUGCACAUGGACCACAAAUCUUUGUUUUCCAGAGAGGCGUCGUGAUUACAUCCUUACAGAGUCCUUGUGAUUUCUCCCCUCCCAGCCCCCACUCCUUGGACUAUGAUUUAUUUUAUUUCUCUCCGUACAUCUCUCUCUCAAAUCCUUAUUGACCUAAGCACCAAUGAUUAGAAAGUACUGAAAUUCUACGCAACCCCUGGAUUAUCUACCAUACAUGUCUGGAAUUCUGCUCACCAGGCUGACUUUCAGCAUGGGCAGACUGCUGACUCCACCCUACAGAGCAACACAGCAGACUGUUCUGAAGAACAAUAUAAAGAACCCUGUAUAGUAUUGGCAAGUAAAUAAAUAAAUGCAAUCAAGGCUAAUUUCUAUCAGCCUAGCAGAUGUUCUCACAUAAACGUGCUAGAAGGCUUUUCUAGUUUUGGAUUUUUUUUGAGCUGUCAAGUGAGUCAGCAUUCCCAGAGUGAGUGCGAAGUACUUUCAAUCAAAAAAUCAGUUAAGUCUCAGGGUCGGUGUUUUUGCCCUGCAGGAAAGUGAUUGUCAGUGACUGAUAGGUAUCAGAUGUGAAACUACAAGAACUGAAGCAAGGAGGUGGAAUAUAUAUAAAGGUGGUUUGGCUGCGUGCAC